GUCUACAGCCAUGCCACUCUGAACAAGCCCAAUCCAGUCUGAUCUCAGAAGCUAAGCAGAGUCGGGCCUGGUUAGUACUUAGGC
rnacentral:rRNA from 1 species